rnacentral:rRNA from 1 species
GAUGAACGCUGGCGGCGUGCCUAAUACAUGCAAGUCGAGCGAGCAGACGAGGAGCUUGCUCCUCUGACGUUAGCGGCGGACGGGUGAGUAACACGUGGAUAACCUACCUAUAAGACUGGGAUAACUUCGGGAAACCGGAGCUAAUACCGGAUCAUAUAUUGAACCGCAUGGUUCAAUAGUGAAAGACGGCUUUGCUGUCACUUAUAGAUGGAUCCGCGCCGCAUUAGCUAGUUGGUAAGGUAACGGCUUACCAAGGCAACGAUGCGUAGCCGACCUGAGAGGGUGAUCGGCCACACUGGAACUGAGACACGGUCCAGACUCCUACGGGAGGCAGCAGUAGGGAAUCUUCCGCAAUGGGCGAAAGCUUGACGCAGCAACGCCGCGUGAGUGAUGAAGGUCUUCGGAUCGUAAAACUCUGUUAUUAGGGAAGAACAAAUGUGUAAGUAACUAUGCACGUCUUGACGGUACCUAAUCAGAAAGCCACGGCUAACUACGUG